GGAAUCUCUGCCGGAGUGUCUGGUCAACCUUUCAUCUCUUGAAGCUUUGCAUAUAUGGAACUGUCCCCUUCUUGAGAAAAGAUGCGAAAAGGGAAUCGGCGAAGAUUGGCACAAGAUUGCUCAUAUUCCAAAGAUUCGAAUAAGCGAAGAGGAUGAAGCAUGAAACUCCCCUACGAACCGAAUCAUGUAAUUUUCUUUUGUUGGCUUAUUUUCAGACCUCGUUACUCUCUUUUCUCUCGGUCUUACACGACAGCCGCUAGGAAAUCUGAGACCUCUGCAACAGUAAAAAAAGGUUCCAGUGUGCUAUCUCCACCAGAGAGAGUCGUAAGUGGGAAAACUAUUAAAGAGCUUCAAUGAAUCAGGUUUCUCUCAUUUACAGGCUCUGUGGACCGAUGGAUGCAAAAUGAAGGUUCGGAAAGGCUCUUGGAGUGUUGCCAAGGAGAUUCGAGGCUUGAAUAGUGAUCAAGAAAAUGAAAAAGUCAGAGUUUGCUUGCUCCUUCUGGCUGGGAGUCACAGACGUCUGCUGGGCCCUCGAAGAAGUUGAUGCUGAGCCCUCCGGAAGAUUGUUUUGGACAGUGGUCCGGCCCAUCCUGACACUUGGUUUUAUUUUUUGAUUUCUCGUGUAUUUUUAGGUCCAGUAGCUAUAAGUGGGCAAUCCUAGUUCAAUUUGCAUUUUCAUGCAGAGAAUAACAGAUACUCCUUUAACUUGUAAUAGUCCUACGAUAAUCAAAAUAGAAACUUUUCUCUA